rnacentral:lncRNA from 10 species
GAAAGUAGAAGUGAUUGACCUAACCAUAGACAGUUCAUCUGAUGAAGAGGAAGAAGAGCCAUCUGCCAAGAGGACCUGUCCUUCCCUAUCUCCCACAUCACCACUAAAUAAUAAAGGCAUUUUAAGUCUUCCACAUCAAGCAUCUCCAGUAUCCCGCACCCCAAGCCUUCCUGCUGUAGACACAAGCUACAUUAAUACCUCCCUCAUCCAAGACUAUAGGCAUCCUUUCCACAUGACACCCAUGCCUUACGACUUACAAGGUGAAUCUAAGGAAGAACUGGAAGACUGAGCCAACAGGGCCUUGGACCCAGGGAACUGAGAGAAAUAAUAUGCCGUUGUUAUAAAUACUGACCCAGUUCGUUGAUUGUACUGUCAUCAGUAGCCAGUGUUUUACUCCCAGUGGUAAAACUAGUGCAAUAAUCUUUAGUUUUUGUGAGCUCCUGAGUACUCUGCAAAUUGUUUUUGAAUGACUGCUAGUAUGUGGGUUUGAAUUUUGGUAUUUAUGAACAUUAUUUUUUUUUGCCGUGGGGAACGGAGUCUUGCUCUGUUGCCUGGGCUGGAGUGCGGUGGCACGAUCUCAGCUCACUACAACCUCCGCCUCCCAGGUUCAAACAAUUCUCCUGCCUCAGCUUCCCGACCGAGUAGCUGGGAUUAUAGGCGCCCACUACCACACCAGGCUAAUGUUUUAUAUUUUUAGUAGAGACAGGG